CCCCUGAACCUGAAGGCCUGAACUCUGCUCCCCAGCUACAAUUGCGCAUUCCCAGGCGCUGAGUUGCCCAAACCAUCUCCUCUCGCACCGGCCACCACCCGUCACCCGUGACGCCGCGACGAUGGCAGCCGCAGGUCUCGGCCUCCGCAUCGUCUCCGCUCUCGCCUUGCUCUCUUUCUCUUCCUGCUCGCUGUCGCUGGCCAGCGACCAGCGGGACGCCGACAGGGUGGCGCGCCUCCCCGGCCAGCCGGAGAGCCCGAGCGUAUCGCAGUUCGCCGGCUACGUCACGGUGAACGAGCGGCACGGGAGGGCGCUCUUCUACUGGUUCUUCGAGGCGCAGACGGCGCCGGAGGAGAAGCCGCUCCUGCUCUGGCUCAACGGAGGACCUGGUUGCUCGUCAAUUGGCUAUGGAGCUGCAUCUGAGCUGGGGCCUCUCAGAGUUGUCAGUCAAGGAGCAGAGCUGAAGUUCAAUGAAUAUGCCUGGAAUAAAGAGGCUAACCUGCUGUUCUUGGAGUCUCCUGUCGGGGUUGGCUUCUCCCACACCAACAAAUCCUCUGACCUGGACAAUCUUAAUGAUGUCUUUGUAGCUGAAGAUUCUUAUAGCUUCCUAGUGAACUGGCUACAGCGAUUUCCAGAGUACAAGGACAGAGAGUUCUACAUCGCUGGAGAGAGCUAUGCAGGUCAUUAUGUGCCACAACUUGCUGAACUUGUUUAUGAAAGGAACAAGGACAAGAAGGGAAAAUCAUACAUCAACCUCAAGGGUUUCAUUGUUGGCAACCCUAUCACUAAUGAUUACUAUGACUCAAAAGGGCUAGCUGAGUAUGCCUGGAGCCACGCGGUUGUACCAGAUGAAGUAUACAACCACAUCAAAAAGUACUGUGACUUCAAGAACUCCAAUUGGUCUGGUGAUUGCAGUGCCGCCAUGGAUGUCAUCUAUAGUCAGUACCGAGAGAUCGACAUAUACAACAUCUAUGCCCCCAAGUGCCUUCUAAACCAGACUUCUGCAUCUUCCACAACUCGAGCAUUCUUCGAGAAUGAUCAGAGAAGAGAGGGGCUGUGGUGGAAGAGUGCCACACCAGAAAAAAUCCCCCUAAUCAACAGAGAGUUUCAGACAGUUCGUGGUCAGAGAUCCUUCAGAAAUGAUGCUAAUCUGUGGAAUGCCAGGACCAGUUCAGGAGAAGGAUACGAAUGUUCUCUGGCUAUGAUCCAUGCUAUUCAUCCUAUGCUGAGGAUUACUUCAACAAGGGGGAUGUGCAGAGAGCGUUCCAUGCAAAUGUCAGUGGGUUGCUUCCAGGGAAAUGGCAUGUGUGCAGUGACCCUAUCCUGAAUUCCUACAAUUUCUCGGUAUUCUCGGUCUUACCAAUAUAUUCGAAGCUCAUCGAAGCAGGGCUCAGAGUUUGGCUCUACAGUGGUGACGCAGAUGGUAGGGUUCCUGUCAUUGGCUCCCGGUACUGUGUGGAAGCACUUGACCUGCCGAUGAAGACCCAGUGGCAACCCUGGUACCUUGACAAACAGGUUGCCGGGAGGUUCGUGGAGUACCACGGCAUGAGCAUGGUGACGGUCAGGGGUGCAGGCCACCUGGUGCCCCUCAACAAGCCUGCCGAAGGGCUGACACUGAUCAACACAUUCCUUCGCGGUGAGCAGCUUCCGGCACACCGGUGAUGGAUGGUUGGUUGGUUCAGUUGGAUACUGCAACAUUUUGGGGAAUAGCUGCGAUAAAUAUUUGACCUGAAACCUAGUACAAGUUAGGGAAAAGCUUCGUCGAAUUGCUCCUCGAUCUACGGUAUCAAUUAGUAGCAAGUCGGCAUGUUUGUUAGUACUGGGUGUUUGAAUUGGUGGCAGAGAAGUAAUACUCCUAUCCUUCCGAGGAAGAUCGACAGAGAUGAGAGAACGUUCUGCCCUGCCCGACCUUGACGUGGUGACCCUGUCGCAUCCCGCAGGUCCUCCGUCCUCCAUACGGAGGUCGACUAGGACGACCGAGCUAUACCAGGUCGUCGUCCGUCGUUGUCGUCGUCGUCAAAGUCUAGUGGCAUGCAGUCGUCGCCAUCGCCCUCUUGCCGACCACGGGCCGCGAACCGAGGAAGAUACGGUGCUUGUGUCGCUACCAAUACUAGUACAAUGUCAAUGGAAGCACAGACAUAAUAUGUGUGAGCAAGGACGCAAGGUGAUGCUGGAAAUUUCAGCCCA